GACGAACGCUGGCGGCGUGCUUAACACAUGCAAGUCGAGCGAAAAGACCACUUUGGGGGUACUCGAGUGGCGAACGGGGGAGUAACAGGAAAGUAACCUGACCUUGCCUUCGGGAUAAGUACAGGAAACUGGGGCUAAUGCCGGAAAGGAAUAAUAUCUGCAUGGUGGGGGUUGGAAAGCGUCGGCGGGUUUGGAUGUACUCGUGGCUUAUCGGCUUGUGGGUGGGGUAGUGGCUUACCGAGGCGUUGACGGGUAGCCAGCCUGAGGGGGCGACCGGCGACAUUGAGACCGAGGGAAGGCCCAGGCUCCUACGGGUGGCAGCAGUGGGGAAUAUUGACCGAUCAGCGGAAGCCGGAUGCAGAAACGCCGCGGGCGGGAUGACGGCCUUCUGGUUGUAAACCGCUUUCAGAAGGGGCGAAGCUUGUCGUGACGGUACCUGCAGAAGAAGCACCGGCUAACUACGUG
rnacentral:rRNA from 1 species